rnacentral:rRNA from 1 species
CCUACGGGUGGCUGCAGUCGAGAAUCUUCGGCAAUGAGCGCAAGCUUGACCGAGCGACGCCGCGUGUGGGAUGAAGGCCUUCGGGUUGUAAACCACUGUCGCAGGGGACGCAGAUCCUGGGAGGAAGGGUGGGCUAAGUUCGUGCCAGCAGCCGCGGUAAGACGUACCACCCGAACGUUAUUCGGAUUCACUGGGCUUACAGAGUCCGUAGGCGGUCAAGAAAGUUAGGCGUGAAAUCCCUCAGCUCAACUGAGGAAUAGCGCUUAAAACUACUUGGCUAGAGAGAGUCAGAGGUGAGCGGAACUGAUGGUGGAGCGGUGAAAUGCGUUGAUAUCAUCAGGAACACCGGUGGCGAAAGCGGCUCACUGGGGCUUCUGACGCUGAGGGACGAAAGCUAGGGGAGCGAACGGGAUUAGAUACCCUUGUAGUC